UCCGGGGUUGAGUGGGUACACUGUAGGAGACCGCGCCGUGCUAAAGCGGAGGAAGGAGUGGGCAACGGUAGGUCAGUAUGCCCCGAAUCUCCCGGGCUACACGCGGGCUACAAUGGUUGGUACAAUGGGCAUCUACCCCGAAAGGGGAAGGAAAUCUCUUAAAGCCAAUCGUAGUUCGGAUUGAGGGCUGCAACUCGCCCUCAUGAAGCUGGAAUCCGUAGUAAUCGCGUUUCAACAGAACGCGGUGAAUACGUCCCUGCUCCUU
rnacentral:rRNA from 1 species